AAGUAAAAGUCGUAACAAGGUUUCCGUAGGUGAACCUGCGGAAGGAUCAUUACCUAGAGUUGUAGGCUUUGCCUGCUAUCUCUUACCCAUGUCUUUUGAGUACCUUCGUUUCCUCGGCGGGUUCGCCCGCCGAUUGGACAAUUUAAACCAUUUGCAGUUGCAAUCAGCGUCUGAAAAAACAUAAUAGUUACAACUUUCAACAACGGAUCUCUUGGUUCUGGCAUCGAUGAAGAACGCAGCGAAAUGCGAUAAGUAGUGUGAAUUGCAGAAUUCAGUGAAUCAUCGAAUCUUUGAACGCACAUUGCGCCCCUUGGUAUUCCAUGGGGCAUGCCUGUUCGAGCGUCAUUUGUACCUUCAAGCUCUGCUUGGUGUUGGGUGUUUGUCUCGCCUCUGCGUGUAGACUCGCCUCAAAACAAUUGGCAGCCGGCGUAUUGAUUUCGGAGCGCAGUACAUCUCGCGCUUUGCACUCAGAACGACGACGUCCAAAAGUACAUUUUUACACUCUUGACCUCGGAUCAGGUAGGGAUACCCGCUGAACUUAAGCAUAU
rnacentral:rRNA from 1 species